rnacentral:rRNA from 1 species
CAAUAGCGUAUAUUAAAGUUGUUGCAGUUAAAAAGCUCGUAGUUGGAUUUCUGGUGGGAGCGAUCGGUCUGGCGCUUAGCGCGAGUACUUGCAUCGUCUCCGGCCAUCCUUGGGGAGAGUCUGUCUGGCACUAAGUUGUCGGGCAGAGGAUCCUCAUCGUUUACUGUGAAAAAAUUAGAGUGUUCAAAGCAGGCUUAUGCCGUUGAAUAUAUUAGCAUGGAAUAAUAAGAUAGGACUUUGGUACUAUUUUGUUGGUUUGCGCACCAAAGUAAUGAUUAAUAGGGACAGUUGGGGGUAUUCGUAUUCCGUUGUCAGAGGUGAAAUUCUUGGAUUUACGGAAGACGAACUACUGCGAAAGCAUUUACCAAGGAUGUUUUCAUUA